CCUUAACCUGCUAAAUAGACCCCCUGCCUUCUGGGGAGGGGCUGUCUUCUUAGAGGGACUAUCGGCGUUUAGCCGAUGGAAGUUUGAGGCAAUAACAGGUCUGUGAUGCCCUUAGACGUUCUGGGCCGCACGCGUGCUACACUGACCGAGCCAGCGAGUCCUUUCCUUGGCCGGAAGGCCUGGGUAAUCUUGUGAAACUCGGUCGUGAUGGGGAUAGAGCAUUGCAAUUAUUGCUCUUCAACGAGGAAUGCCUAGUAAGCGCAAGUCAUCAGCUUGCGUUGAUUACGUCCCUGGUCUUUGUACACACCGCCCGUCGCUACUACCGAUUGAAUGGCUUAGUGAGGCCUUCGGACUGGCUUUCGGGGUCGGCAACGACAUCUGAUCGCUGGAAAGUUGAACGAACUUGGUCAUUUAGAGGAAGUAAAAGUCG
rnacentral:rRNA from 1 species